rnacentral:tRNA from 1 species
AGAAACUUAGGAUUUAUAUUAAACCCGUGGCCUUCAAAGCCAUUAAAAAGAGAACAACUCUUAGUUUCU